rnacentral:rRNA from 1 species
AACGCACCUUGCGCUCCCUGGUAUUCCGGGGAGCAUGCCUGUUUGAGUGUCAUUAAAUUCUCAACCCCGAUCGGAUUUGUUUUCGCAUUCGGAGGCUUGGAUAGUGGAGCGUGCUGGCCCCCUCUCAUGGGUCGGCUCCUCUCAAAUGCAUUCGCGGAAUCGACUUUGGUCCAUUUCGGUCAUCAGUGUGAUAAAUGUUGCGCUGUUGGCUAGGAUCGAGGUGCCGCAUACAAUGGUCUUCGGACAAUCUAUAAACCAUUGACCUCAAAUCAGGUAGAUUCCA